CCUACGCGGGGCAGCAGUGGGGGAUAUUGCACAAUGGGGGGAACCCUGAUGCAGCGACGCCGCGUGGGUGAAGGAGCGUUUCGGCGCGUAAAGCCCUAUCGGCAGGGAGGAAGAUGACGGUACCUGACCAAGAAGCCCCGGCUACCUACGUGCCAGCAGCCGCGGUACUACGUAGGGGGCAAGCGUUAUCCGGAUUUACUGGGUGUAAAGGGGGCGCAGACGGCAAUGCAAGCCAGGAGUGAAAGCCCGGGGCCCAACCCCGGGACUGCUCUUGGAACUGCAUGGCUGGAGUACAGGAGGGGCAGGCGGAAUGCCUAGUGUAGCGGUGAAAUGCGUAGAUAUUAGGAGGAACACCGGUGGCGAAGGCGGCCUGCUGGACUGUGACUGACGUUGAGGCCCGAAGGCGUGGGGAGCAAACAGGAUUAGAUACCCUUGUAGUC
rnacentral:rRNA from 1 species